UUGGAGGGCAAGUCUGGUGCCAGCAGCCGCGGUAAUUCCAGCUCCAAUAGCGUAUAUUAAAGUUGUUGCAGUUAAAAAGCUCGUAGUUGAAUUUCGGGGUUCUACCGUUGGUCGGGCUUUGUCUGUACUGGUGUGUAGAAUUUCUACCUUCUGGGGAACCAUCAUGCUAUUAAUUUAGCGUGGUGGGAAACCAGGACCUUUACCUUGAAAAAAUUAGCGUGUUCAAAGCAGGCUUAUGUCUGAAUACAUUAGCGUGGAAUAAUAGAAUAGGACGGUGGUCCUGUUUUGUUGGUUUCUGAAUCACCGUAAUGAUUAAUAGGGAUAGUUGGGGGCAUUAGUAUUCAAUUGUCAGAGGUGAAAUUCUUGGAUUUAUUGAAGACUAACUUCUGCGAAAGCAUUUGCCAAGGAUGUUUUCAUUAAUCAAGAACGAAAGUUAGGGGAUCGAAGACGAUCAGAUACUGUCGUAGUCUUAACCAUAAACUAUGCCGACUAGGGAUCGGACGAUGUUAAUUUUUCUUGACUCGUUCGGCGCCUUACGGGAAAC
rnacentral:rRNA from 1 species